AUGAGCCUACCCAUAAUUAAACCAGCAGAAACAAAUGUUUGCAAUAGCCAGAGCCUCAAAUUAACAAGCCACCAGGAUGGUGCGGCCUCUAGCCCAGCAGCUAGCUUUCAGUGGCACCUCGAGGGACUUCUGCCAUCUUUCAUCCAAAGCCUGCACAGGCAGCAGGAGAAGGGACCUGAAGCAAGCUGCAGGCCAGGCAAGGAGGAUCUCACAGUACCAGAGGACAACUGGCUGCGUUUCCAGGCACUGAGCACGGGCCUGAUGUCUGUCAGCACUCCCGGGUGCGCUGAGCUUUAUGGCCGUGAUCCACCACUGCCUGCCCUUUCGUCCUUCGUGCAGGGGGCUGCAGGACGGGAACUGGACUGCUGUGAGGAAUUGGGGGGAUUUGUCACAGAAACGAAGCGUCUUGAGCAAGAAAGCGUGACCUCUAGGUCGUAAUAUACGGAUGAAGCAACUGUUUCCUGCCCAAAAUGAUUACUGGGUUGGGAAUAUUUGUCAGCCCUAGGACGAAAGGGGAUUUCUGCAUGCAUGCAGUCUGACCCACUGGUUCUGAUAUUCUCAGGAGUGACUUGUCAUGAUUUGUUUUUGCCUACAGUUAUGCAUAUUUUCAGGAAAGAGCACACAGAUGACUAAAAUCAACAAAUAUUUAAAACUCAGGACCUACUUUGCUGUUUCAGAACUUUCACAGCCAAUGUGUUACACGCUUCUUUUUCUUAUUCCUCCUCAUCUUCGGCAAAAAAAAGGGCAUAUGGGUCGUCUCACUCCAUUUCUCAUUACUGCCUCUCUCUUUUGAUCCUCAAGCACCAUCAAAAGCUACAUUCAGUGAAGUCUUGGUUUUGAGUUUCUUACCCAAGCAAUUUAAAAUUCCUAUUUUAAGAAAAUAUAUUUUUGCAUCUGCUUUAGUACUGUAUAUUUAGAUUCUGGAUAAAACCAUAUUAAAGCAUAUCUGUCUGCUUAUAUAUGUUGUAUUUUUCUGUCACAAUGUAAAGCCAAGAUUAACCAGCAUAUUUUGUUUUUGUUAAUCAUAAUUUACUCAAGUGCCACUUAUAUUGAACUUUCAUUUUCAUAAAACAAAUCAGUACAUUUGCUGCUAAUCGGUGAUCAAUACUGGGUGAUAUAAGACUGCCAUUCAUUGGAUUAAUCCUGAAUUUUACUAAAUGAAUAUGCGGCACUUACCUCGUUACGGAGGCAUUAACGCUUGGAGGACAAUUUUAGAUAAAUCACAGAAUCCAAGAUUUUAUAUAGUGUCUGUGUGACAGCAUCAGCUAUCUUUCCUCCAAUACCAGAACACAAAAGCAAAGGGUGAAUACAGUCCUUGUAGCCAAUAGAAAUCGGAUGGUUCAACAUCAAAACAGCUAGCCACAGACUAUAAAUCACAUAAGGAAGAAUUAGACAUUGUGCGUCAUGAUCUUCAGUUGUAUUUCCAGAUACAAAGUGGCCAGUGGAGAUGCUUCAUAUGCCCAGACUGCUGGAAAAGAAAAUAGAGAACGCAAACAUGAAGGGAUCCUGAAUUGGCCAGAGCUUUGAGUCACGUCUACCUAUACCUUUUCCUUAUUGUAAAUGUCUCAAAAACACUGACAAGAAUGGUGUAUGUUGUUGUCUCACUGCAUUUCUCUUCACAGAAGAUAAGGUCUUCUCAUGGGGAGAGACUGUUUUUCUUGCUCAUGCUGAACAAAAUCAGCCGGGGCAUUCAGAACCUCUGGGGAAGCCUCAGCCAAGUCCAGGCUGCGGUCCCUACACCUUUGGAAGUACCAUGGAAGAGCGAGUCCCCUUCUGGGGGCAGGCAACCAAGGCGAACUCCAUUACUUGCUGACCUUGGGGUCCCCAAGUGCAUCUCACAAGCACUUUCCAAAACAAUAAAGCUUGUGCAUGAUCAAAUGGAGUUCACAGUUCUAAGCUCCCGAGUUCUUAUUACAAAAGCAUAAGAGGGAAAUCCUUCAUGCGCGCACAUUCUUUUAGGAAUGAAACAUAACUUAGGAGUUUUCAUUCAGGGCUGAUUUAUUCCUCUUAACUCAUCCCAUUAUUGGCAUUUCUUAAAAAUACACUGUUGAAUGAGUUAAAAUGGUGUGUCAAGCUUAACUUUGAAUUUCAUUAUUGUUGAAACCUGAAUGUUAAAAUAACACUUUUUUUUGUCUUUAAUUUCCUCUUUUUUAUUAAAAAAUAAAAAAAUAUAUGUUUGAUGGAAAGUUAUUGAAAGCAUGUUCCGUAAUCCAAGGACCACCUAGAAACAACGUUAAUAGGUUUUUCAGCAGAUCCAUCUUUUUUUAAAAAAAAAAAAAGACGCAAGGUAUCUAAGCAACUGGAGUAGCUCCACAGGAAUAUUAGUUUCUCUCCAGUAUAUUAUCAUGUCAAUACAGAUCUAGAAUGCAUGAUUGCUAAAUUAUAACGUGAGCAUAUGAAACAAAUGUUUCUUCCACUUCUUAUUCUCUUUCUGUUGGACAAAUGGAACUGCUCUCCAAAUUUCAUUUUUCAACUUCAAGCCGACUUUAGUUGUGGGAGAACAAAAGUAAUUUUAACUUCCAUGAUUUAUUCACUUAACAUUAAUAAAGCUGAAAAAAAGCAGUCUAUUUGGUAAUGGUAAUCAAAAUGGGCUUGUAAACCACUGGAAUUAAAGUGCGCUAAUGAAAGUGCUGACAGAUCCUUUACUGUAGUGAUGGGAACAGUAUUUCUGCGUUAUCCGCACUAUAAUCUAUAAAUAAAACUUAGUUCUCUUACUGAAGUGUGGAAAUGAUUUAUUGUCAUUGUUAAAGUGGACAGGCAAAUAACAUAACACACUUUUCAAAAUAUGGAGUGUAAGUGAAAUCUAGUCUGUCAUGAGACCAAGAAUAAUACUGUGGAUUUCAGCUUCCUUCAUCCACAGAUCUCAAAGCACUUUGUUAUCAUUAAAUUUUGCCUGCUUAUUCUCACCCUACAGAUGGGGAAACUGAGGAGUGGUAGUUCAGGGAUACAAUACUAAUAUGAUUUUUUAUUUUAUUAUUUUAUUUUAUUUUACAGAAGGUAUUCUGGUUGCAAUGGGUUUCAUAUGACUGAAUCACAGAAAAUAUCCUAUAUAAUAAGAUAUAAGGGGAAUAAUAAAGAAAACUAACAGAAAACUUCUUAUUUGGGAGGUAAGGACUUGUAACGGUCCAGAAGUUUGUCAGUGGUCUGAAUCAAGCUUUAACAGCCGCACAACACAUACAAAAUCAGUUGGGUGUUACUGAAAAUUGUUCUCAUGUCAUGGCUGUGUAAUAAUGUAAAGGAAGCAAUAGUCUAUAUUACUAAAAAUGGCUAAUACUGUAUUUUGGUGGUGAAGAUGAAUUCACGGUGUACAUUUCCAAAAUCACUGGGCCGUAGAUAUCUGAAUAUCCUGCACAAACUGGGAAAAACCAACUGCUGUAUUUUUCCAUGGAUCGUGCUGUCGCAGGAUGUUGGAACCCACUGGAUGUUCUGACAGUGGUGCCGUGGCGUUCCCUGUCCCCUCUGCAACUUCUUCCCCUUAGGUAGCCAAUUCUGGAAGAUAUUGCCACUGAUGAAAGGGUGGAAAAAAUAAGGUUUGUGUGAUGGGCACAUUGCACAGUGCCAUUUCAUACAGCACACUUGCAGUCUCUCACAGGACUCCUGCCUCCUUGAGCCCAUAGGCAAGGGAGUUUAAUUCAUAUGCACAGGCAUUUUAUUUUAUUUUCACUGUUUCAUGCUCAAGGCCUUCUCCUGCUGUAAUCACUGCAUGCUGCUUAAGCCCUGUUCUGUUGACAGAGCUAAUUUCCUCAAGAGAUUUCCUCCAGUGCUCAGGACUAUAACAGAUGAAUGCUUCACAACUAUUUAUUAAUACUCAUUCACAGCACUCCUCUGCAGGGUGGAAGUAAUUUUACCCCCAUUUUAUGGAUGGAGUGUUACCAGACAAAAUGGAGACAAAGUCAAAAGUAACCACCACGGCUGUCUGCCGAAGUCCAGGCUGCCCCUGACUGGAGUUCAAAACCUUGACGAACACGGCACAUUAAAAGUGUAGCUGCCAGCAACUUCAGCUUAGGCUGGAUGGAUGCUCUGCAAAUGACACCAGCCUGUGAAGAAAAGAAGGAAAUGCACUCAUCAAGACUCCGAAAAAGUCAUUGUAACUAAUUAUAUCAUCGCACUCACAUUUUUUUUUUAUAGGGGCAUUUACAGGGCUUACUUAUGAAGUCCUCUUGCCUGAUUCUUUAAGUCACCAGAUUCAUUCACUUGUUAGUUCCUCAAAAAAUGAGGGGGUGGGUGAGCUUAGAGAAACUGCCCUCCUCUGCUGGACAGUCCUGAUUUUUCCUCAGAAAGCAUGUGGCAUACAAAGUUGUAAAGUAAAACGUAUUCUGAAAAUAAUUAAUUCUGCAUCCGUUAAAGCAUGUAUAUGUGUUCACAGCCAUUUUCUCUGAUUCUAAAGGGAAUGACUCCUGCUGUUUACUCAUUAACCUCAGACCAAGGACUGUCUAUGCUUCAUCAAGUUCCAGUUAAUUGUAACUGCUCAAGCUCUCAAGCUUGUGGAUGUCAGUGAGGCCACAAAGGUAGCUAAGGUAUCUUAAGGACAUAGAUGAGACACAAUGGGAACAAAAAAGCAUCCCUUAAGACCUAUUUUUUACCAUUUGUAAUGUACGAAGCCAGAACCACAUGGGAUUUUUGAAUGACGAAUGAUUCUCCAGAUCUGGCUAUUAAAAUCACAGUCAACUAACAUACAGAUCAAAAUCCUCUUCUUUCAUCACCAUCACAGAAUGCCUUAUAUAUAUAUAAUAUGUAUUAUAUGUGGAAAUUAUAUAUUAGAAAAUAUAUUCUACUACAAUUUGACUUUUGAGUUGAGAAGCUAUUUGAUCCAUUUUGACAAGUUCAUUUUAGGGAACAGUGCAGAUGGAGAUAGUCUUUCUUCACUUUCCAUCUAUUUCUGUGAUGCAAGCUGUACAUUAAAGGGUACCAAUGCAGUGGUUGCAGGGGGUUACAGAACUUGGUCUUCAGAGAAUGUGAGGCAAAGGCUACUUCCAGAAGCAAGAUGAGGCUAUGGUGGACCAGUUGUCUAUCCUGGUAUAGCAAAUUCUGUAAGGACUCCAAAAUAAAUAAAUACAUACAUACAUUUCCUGCCCAGUAGUCAUCUGACAACAUCAUUAGAACUGAUUUUUUUUGGCUCAACAGUUGAUAAUUACAUUAUCAGUUGAUAAUUACAUUUCAGUAAAAUAAAGAAUAUCCCACUUAUCCCUGUUAAAAGAGCAAAUGAAUAAAUGAAUCAGC
rnacentral:lncRNA from 1 species